rnacentral:rRNA from 1 species
GGUAUAUACAAACGGUGAAAUUGUUGUAUACAAUUUAAAAGCUUAAUAACUAAACCAAAAUUUUAUUUAGAAUUUGCAGAAGAUAAUAAAUGCAAAAGGAUUUGAAUAGUUUUAGAGAUAGUGUUUUAUUUUCAUUAUUUGGGCUUGGCCCAAACAAAACACUUCAUGCACACAGAAGUACAAUACACACGCUCUUUCCCUAAAAAUCAUGCAAGCACGAACUCAUCUCCCUUCCCUUUCCCUAUGAUCAAGUAUCCCUACUGCUCGAAGUGCGAAGCACUGCCACCGGCUGCUCAUGUCUCCUCGUCGUUCUCGGGAUACAAAGCACUUCAUGUUGUGUUCUUCCACCAUGGCCAUCGGACUAUAUUUUUUAAAACCGAACGGGCAACUGAACCGUUGCGUCUGUCACCGGUUGGACCGCCGGUUCAUCGAUUUGUUCGUGACAAAAAAAACAAGUUAUUAAAAAUAACCUUAGAUCAAAUGAGUACACAUAAUAUUGGAUGUAAUAUAAACAUAACCAGCCAGGUCACACGGGCUGAGACAUUUUAACUCACCUUCCCUUUAGUUGCCAAUUUGAAGGGAGGGAUCGAAUUAUGUUGUGUUUAUGGCCAAUUGAGCGGUCCAUGAGCGAUCAAUUUAAAAUACAUAGUGAUAACCUGGCUUCUAAUGUAAAUAAUAAUCCAAUUCUUUUGCAAUUGGAUACCCAAAUUUAGCAUACUGCACAUUCAUCUCUCUUAUCGUCAGUGUUUGAUUAUGCAAAAAUAGGUUCAGCAUGUAAAAUCAAGGCAGCUUCUCUGCACACAAUUUCUUGGGAAGAGACAACAAACCUUUGCAUCAUUCAAAUGUCACAGGUGACUUGUUUUAGUUUGGGAUCUUGAAAGAAUCAAACCAACAUACCUUUCCCGGCAACAGUCAGCAGUGGUAAGCAUGUGCCGCUGGAGCCCGACCAACUUCCCUUGAUCCCAUUUAUUGUCUCCUAUCCACGG